UCGAUCCUACGGGGGGCAGCAGUGGGGAAUUUUGGACAAUGGGCGCAAGCCUGAUCCAGCUAUUCCGCGUGUGGGAUGAAGGCCCUCGGGUUGUAAACCACUUUUGUAGAGAACGAAAAGACACCUUCGAAUAAAGGGUGUUGCUGACGGUACUCUAAGAAUAAGCACCGGCUAACUACGUGCCAGCAGCCGCGGUAAUACGUAGGGUGCGAGCGUUAAUCGGAAUUACUGGGUGUAAAGGGGGCGCAGACGGCAAUGCAAGCCAGGAGUGAAAGCCCGGGGCCCAACCCCGGGACUGCUCUUGG
rnacentral:rRNA from 1 species